CUCCCUCGUCCCUGCUGGAAUGAUACGGCAAGAAGACGCAGGCUCCUCAGCUUUGAGCUUUCCAGCCUCCAGAACUGUAAGAAAGAAUCUGUAUUUUCAAAUAAAUGACUCGGUCUUGCAUAUCCUGUUACAGCAACAUAAAACAGACCAAGACACCAGCCCAGUACGCUAAGGCCCAUGACCCCAGCAGCGCCCCAUGCACCCCUCCAAUCAGCAGGAGGCCAGCUGUUCUGAUUUGCUUGGCUUUUGUAAUUAAUGUUCCCCAGGAGAUUCAAGGGCAUCCAGCCCCACGAGGUCAAAGAACAAGGAUUCGGGAACCACUUUUGAGACAAGGCUGCAUAAAAGGACAACCGACUCUCUCUCCCUGUGCUUGGAGCAAGAUCUCUAGGGAAAGCAGACAGCAGCAAUCCUGCCCAGGAAGAGAAGAAGAGCAAUCCCAACGGCAGGAACAGCAAUAAAGAUAAUUUCAGCAUGAGCUCUGGUGUUGCUGCUGACGCUUUUGACUCCCAGGCACGAGACCAGUUUCUUAUGUUCAAGCUAUGCCCAGUGUGGCUCGUAGCCUCCUUCUGCUGUCUACAGAUCAAGACGUAGAACUCUCAGCUUCUCCAGCACCAUGCCUGCCUGCACACUGCCAUGCUGUCGACCAAGAAGAUAAUGGACUGAACCUCUGAAACUGUUAGCCAGCCCCAAUUACAUGUUUUCUUUUAUAAUAAAGAAUACCUUGCCGUG